rnacentral:misc_RNA from 1 species
AGAAGGCACACAUAUUUCAUACUCUAGAUCUGGUAUGGAUCACAAAUUCCAAUGUGUGAGGAUGUUUUGAAUGGGAUGAGAACUUUGAUGUUUCCAGCCAUGAACCUGAGGAUUUUGAGUCGAUUCUGAUGUUGGAGUAUCUAAUGUUUCUCUCUCUGUUUCUUUUGGUAUAUUUUCAAUUUCUUGAGGAUUUGUCUUAUUUGUGGUAUUAUCCUCAUCUGAUUGUAAAUCUUCCAAUGGUUUUGGAGGAUAUUCAACAGGAUUAUUCAAUUCUUCUACUGUGCUUUCAUCAAAAAAACAUGCAUACUUUCUUCCACUUGAUUUGUU